UUUCCUUGUGUGAAUUGCAUGCUG
rnacentral:piRNA from 1 species